GAAAAUUCCAGCUGUCCGACCCGCGUCGGUGCCAUGACCUGACUUCUUUCCAUCUGACAUGUCCGGUGGGGCGCUCAGACGAGGAUUAACUUCCGAUUGGCGCACCUCCCCUCUCGCUGGCGGCUGUGCCAGCAGAGCAACCACUUCAAAGAGGUCAGGAAAAAAAGGCGGCAGGAAUUAUCAUAGCCAAACUUGCCUCAGGACGGGCAGGAGGGGAAAAGAAUGGGAAAAGCCGUUUUGAUGUGCCGGCCCUCCGGUGUUGGGACGGCGUGAAAUGCGGGAGAGCAAGGGCCAACGGGGGAGAGGAUCCAGCUAACGCCAGAUGCUAACGUAGCCUUCUACAUCUUCACUCAGUGCUGUCACACUUGUAGCGGCUCUUGCUUUCAACACGACAGGACAGAAAAACACUCUCCCACGGCUCCAGCAGAAAACUACAAACAGCGCCUGUUACGUCUCGCUACUAAUGUGCUGUAUCCGUCAACCUAACUUGGCGUGGUUCUAUUCACGUCAAAAGAUUGGCUUAGCGUGGAGCAACUUGCAUUAUUAUUGGCUAUUCGUAUUGUCUUUCAAAACAUGGACCUAACCAAAUGUGUUUAGCUGAGCCAUAAUAGGUCAAGAGGCUAAGGGUAGAUCUUAAGUCUCUUCCUUGCUUCUACAUCCUCCAUAUACAACAACAGCAACCUGGCAGAAAGAGAAAUGAGAUCAAGCCCUAAAGCCUCUAUUGAAGGCUCCCGCAGAAUCCCUUGAGGCAUCACUGGCGGGGUUUUCGUCAAGAUGUUUUUCUAUCGAACAUAUUCUAUAUUGAUAUUGAUCAUGUGUCUGUCGCGAUCUAUAGUGAUAUUGAAUUGUCGCCCAGCUCUAACAUGCUUACUUAUAUAGAAAGACAGGACAAAUAUGUUUUAGUGCUCCAAAUUGGUGAUAUUUAAUUGGCUCUGGGCAAUUCAAUACAACCACAAAGAUGCUGUGCAAAGAAAGCAAACAUUAAGUCGACACUUAUGAAUGACAUCGGCGAGGAAGGAUACUACGAAAUGAGAAUUCAUGCAAAAAAAAAACCACAAAAGAAAUUACUAAGGAUUUGUAAUGAAU